rnacentral:lncRNA from 1 species
AAAAAUCAAGGCCCGAACAAAUCGCUGCUUCUGUAUCUGCUCUAUUCACUCAGAAGGUCGACAACAAGAAGUAGAUAACAUCGAUUAAGGUAUAUUUCACAGCAUUUUUAAAAAUUGUGAAUAUAUGAUCUUCGAUGUGAGUGUAUUUAGUUUCUAAUUCUAAAAAUUGUGACUGUAUUUAUCAUAUUGCUCUACUUGUUUAUCCUCUCCAAAAAGUAUGUAAAAGUCGGUGAGAUUUGUUGUUCUUGUUAACCAUUGUUGUGAACUUUGUGUUGAAAGAAGGGUGAUGGGGACUGAUGAAUUAAUGGCAUGUAUGUAUUUUCUUUGUAUUAACUAAAUUGUUGCUGCUUUAAUUCAUGCACAAGAUGACAAAUGUACUGUCCGUUCCAAUUGAGGCUGCUUGGUUUUUUAUUCCCAUUGUGGGGGUGGAGUGGGGUGGGAAGGGGGUGGUAGGUGGGGGUAGGUUAUCAAAGAAGGCAGUAAAUUAUGUGGGGAAUAGAGAUGUUGAAGAAAGAUGCCAAAUCUUUGUUGAAACUAAUAGUUAAUGUCAAAGACCUAGUGACAGAAAUAAAUAAUCCAAGAAUUAUUUUAUGUUGUGUGUACCGCACAUUCUGGAAUAGUAUGAGAUGAAUAAAACUUGCAAGUGCCAUAGCCUAAUCUACUCAAUACAGGAAAUAUGGAUAGAUAACUUAAAUAAAGCUAAUGAUAGGCCUAAUAUAUUCAUAACUAAUUAGCACCUACAAAGCUUUUCAUUUAUAGGAAUAACAGUAGAUUUUUAAGCCGAAUUUAACCAUCACGUAGGUAAAAUUUAGAGUUUGAGAUGAAUCUUGUCAAGUCUUGUCAAGGGGUGGCAUACAGUAAGGAGAUAUUUGAUUCUUUGCACUAGACAAGGCAAUUCAUUCGAGUUUUUAUUUCUUAGCUCUCUCUCGAGUUGAUUACUAUCUCACUUGAACUGUCAGUUUCUGUUUCUUGGUGCUCGCUCAAGUCGAUUACUGUCUCACUUGAAUUGCUCGUCUUAGUUUCUGAUUCUUGGCUCUCUCUCGAGUCGAUUAUUUUUUCACUUGAGUUGCCAGAUUCUGUUGCUUGCAUAUCUCUUUUAUUAUACUAUCACGUGGCAUGCCAAACACUCGCUCAGUGAGAUGCGAAAUAUGCUGAUGAAUCUGCUCCUUGCCUUAAUUGACUUUCAAGCCUUGAUUAUGUUUAGCACUGUGAACUGAGUAUCAAUUUUAAAAUCUUUUGAUUCUGAAUAAUUUGAGGCCCUUAAAACACAGUCUGUACUUUGAGUUCUUGAAUAUUACAUUUAGGUUCGAAUUUGGCGGAACAUCAACUUGUGACAACAAUAAAAACUGACUCGGAUGUUAGGGUGCGAGUGGGAAUUCCCAGUUGCCUGUCCUGUCACAGGGCAGCUCAAGAAAUUUAUAUAAAAUUACUUUUAUUGAAAUUGAAACGCUACAUCGUAACAUAACCCCAAAAUUAGCAUUCAAAAGGCUUUUUAAGCACAUAAGAGGUACAUAAGCUCCUAGGAUAAAUGCUGACUGCCAUUAUUACUAAGGUCCUUAAGAAACCUAAUUAUAAAAAAAAUUCAGGUUCAAAUUUAUCAAUCAAAAAUUUAACUCAGAUUUAUUAUGUUCAAAUGACUGUAAUUAUUACUCAUCUUGUCUAAUUACAACUAGUUUGUGAGAUAUUAUAAUUAACCUUAAUUUUCAUUUAUCGUGAUAGUUCGUAACAUGGCUACAACAAGGAAUCAACGUCGACGCGAACGGAAACAUUUAGGUUUAUUUUGGACGAUGGUCAUACAAGCGAUUGUGAUAUAUAAUGAUAUUAAACAUCGUGAACAUCUCCCCAGAGCUCCUCAUAUCAAUUGGGAUUCCGAAACACAGAUGACACUUACACGAAUGUUUGGCAUGAGUGAUACGAUAUGUCGUGAUCUACUUGGAUGAAAAUAGGUCCGUUUCAAAGAUUAUGUGCUCGUUUGUGAACGUAUGGGUUGGUUGAUAGUAAAUUUGUCCGAAUUGAUGAACGAGUGGCUAUUUUUCUAAAUACCGUCGGGCAUGACCAAUGCAAUCGAUCUGGACGUUUUACUUUCUUUCGAUCUGGUCAAACAGUGAGCUUUUACUUCCACAGAGUCUUGCACGCUUGUCUUCGACUAUAUAGAGAUGUUGUGAUUAACGCCACUCCUCAUAACUCUCCAUACGAGAAGGAAAAUGUGAAACCAUGGUACUCAUGUUUUCAAUUUAGAGGUUUGUAGUUUUUCAUUAUAUCUCUUAAAACUUCCAUAUUAUAAUAUUUCGAAAAUUAUUCUUUUUUAAAGGAUGUUGUAGGGGCAAUAGGUGGUACACAUAUAGCUGCGAAUGUCCCCUUAGAGGAGCAAGCUAGGUAUCGCAAUAGAAAGCAAGUGAUUUCUCAAAAUGUUUUGGUAGCUUGCGCAUUUGAUAUGAAAUUUACAUAUGAUAUAAAAGAUCUGAAAAAGUUCCUUUUUUCAGAUGAAAAUUUGAAUGAAGUUGACGAUCAAAGCGAGGAUAGAGAUCCAAGCCCAGUCCGGGCUCCUAAGCGUAACGUUGACGGAGGAACUAACAAAAUUCAACGAAGAUGACGUAGCCAACCUAAUGAUGAGAGUCUCAUAGCCCUAUCAAGCAUUGCUGAAUCAUCAAAAACAAUUGCUAAUGCUUUGAAGAUUCAAGCAACGUUAGAUACUCUAAAUCACAUCAAUUGGCAAUUGGUUCUACAAAUAUUACAAAGCAUGAACAUUGAGAAGCAUGACAUAAUGCAAGUCAUGAAAGUAUUUCGAUCGGACGAGUGUCUG